CCUACGGGAGGCAGCAGUGGGGAAUAUUGCACAAUGGGGGAAACCCUGAUGCAGCGACGCCGCGUGAGUGAAGAAGUAUCUCGGUACGUAACGCUCUAUCAGCAGGGAAGAUAAUGACGGUACCUGACCAAGAAGCCCCGGCUAACUACGUGCCAGCAGCCGCGGUAAUACGUAGGGGGCAAGCGUUAUCCGGAUUUACUGGGUGUAAAGGGAGCGUAGGUGGCAAGGCAAGUCAGAUGUUAAAACCCGGGGCCCAACCCCGGGAGUGCAUUUGAAACUGUCUGGCUAGAGUGCAGGAGAGGUAAGUGGAAUUCCUAGUGUAGCGGUGACAUGCAUAGAUAUUAGGAGGAACACCAGUGGCGAAGGCGGCUUACUGGACUGUAACUGACACUGAGGCUCGAAAGCGUGGGGAGCAAACAGGAUUAGAUACCCCAGUAGUC
rnacentral:rRNA from 1 species